UACGUAGGGUCCGAGCGUUGUCCGGAGUUACUGGGCGUAAAGCGCGCGCAGGCGGCGGUGUUGGCCCGGCGUGAAAGCCCCCGGCUCAACCGGGGAGAGUCGUCGGGGACCGCACCGCUUGAGGGCGGUAGGGGCUGGUGGAAUGCCUGGUGUAGUGGUGAAAUGCGUAGAGAUCAGGCAGAACACCUGGGGCGAAGGCGGCCAGCUGGGCCGUCCCUGACGCUGAGGCGCGAAAGCCAGGGGAGCAAACGGG
rnacentral:rRNA from 1 species